CUGCUUUGUGUCGGCAGCAACUUGUGAGUGUCUGCAGGAAUCCUACAGGUACAUCCAUCCGCCUUAUCCCCCUGCAGAGUUAGAACACUCAGCACUAAAUAAGGGAUUGAUCCAGCACCACCAUCCUGCAGACAGAGGUUUGUGGGAUGACUUUCACCACCACCACGGUUUGCGAAGUAAUGAGGGAGGACCAAGAUGUGUCAAAUGCCAUCCCAGAAAGGCUCUCCUUGAUCCUGAUUUUAGGAGAAGCUUCCUGAAAACAACAUGACAAGUGUCGUUUGUCCCGUCACAGUCAGCCUGUGUCCCAUCAAGUCACCCUCAACAGAUCUGCAACCAGAUUUGAGAGUUAAUCACAGCAGCUUUGCCCUUGCUGCAUGAGGCCUUUGACCCAAAACUCUGGUGGAGGAUUGAGAUGAGCUGGAAUUAAGGUCCUGGAGCAGGAUAAGGUCCCACCUUCUGGAUUCUGGGGUCUGUUCCUCUCCUUGGAGAAGCCAACAGGAAGAAGUCUCCACAAGGUCAGGUGAAUUCAAAUAUUUCUGCAAUUUUUUGUCCUUUUCCAAGCCCCAUUCCUGCUACUGGAGUCGUGUUCCCAUUCCUGUGAUGGGUGGGAAUCUGUCCCUUCCCAAACCUUCACCAUCCCAGCUGUCCUGAGGAGGAUCUGAUCCACAGCUCCCAGAAAUGGCAGCAGCCAGGGCAGCUCUGAGGUUCCAUCCAGCUGGAAUUACAGCAAACCCUGCAAAAGGGACCCUCCAAAGGGAUCCCUGAUGUCCUGUGACAGGGACUGCCCUCAUUUCCAACCUGUUUGCAGAGGCUCUGACAGUGGCUGAGCUGCAAUGAGGGAAGCAAUAAACAGGCUCCUUGGCCACUAAUGAGGAAUUAAUUGAACACUUGUUUUUCAUUUCCCUCUUCCUUGCCCAGGACUGAGCC